rnacentral:tRNA from 1 species
AUUUAUAUAGUAUAAUAGUAUAUUUGACUUCCAAUCAUAAGGUUUAAUUUUAAAUUAAUAUAAAUA